AAAAAUAGAAAAUAGUUUCAAAACAUAAUAGAGAACUGAAAUGCAUAAAUAUGUCACAAUACAUACUUAUAUAAUAUGUAUGAGGCCUCUAGAACCAUAAGAAAUGCAAAAAGUUUACUGUGAAUAACUCAUUUUCGAAUUGCCCCCCUUAAAAAUCAAAUUGCCCCCCUGUGGGGCGUGUGUCCCACGUUGGAAACCGCUGCCUUAGACCUUUCGCCCUGCUCAGCCACCCCAAAUACUUCGAAGUAACCCUCUUUUACCUCAAGUCCUCUUGUUUCAAGCCGUCACCCAGGAUUUGAAGUUUAGGGAACCCCAUUUCUGCUGCCCAUGCUGCUUGCAGAACAAAAAAAGUUCCUAGGUUCCAUGGGGAACACAGAACUCAUUGCCCUGCUGUGGACUGUGGUUAAGAUCUUAAAUAUGGUUAAUCGACUAUUCACCUACAAUGGGGGGCCCUCACGGGCUGGCCCGAGGACACAGCCUCUGUUUCUAACACGUUUCUGUGGGUAAAUAGUUCCUUCUCAGAGCAGAACUCUUGGCAAGCUGGGCAUUUCUUUGGUAGCUGCAAGAGAUUUGCAUGUGCUUAUGGAAGUGUCCUCGUUACUUUGUAGUCACAGCACCAUCUAUCACAAAAAUUGUCCUGCUGUAUGCAAAUGACAAUGACCAAAAGAAACACACACACCACUUCCUCCCCACAAAGCUUGCCAGAGACCUGUACUCACUUCCCGUGACUGUUCUGCUGGCCAGGUGAGAGUGAACUCUCCAUUCUGACCGAUCUGACCCGUUGCAGGUGGCGCUGGAAACAGGUGCCCUCGCCUGCUUGGUUUUUAAUGUUCUGCUGUGGGAGGAAGAGAGCACCUCUGCCUGAGCAGGAGCAGCCCAGUCGGAUUUGUGGAAAGACCAGCCCGUUGAGUUUCUAUUGGUCACUUAGGUGGAGCAGCCACAUUGUAGCCCAGCCAGGUGGGGACAGUUCCGAGGCGAGUGUGCAGCGAUGGCCUUAGGUGGCGUCUUUUCUUCUGCUUCAGCUCUGACCUCUGGCCAUGGUGACUUCUGGGGCAGCAAACUUUGUCCCAGUGUUUUUUCUGACAUUUCCUCCUCCUUGAACUCCCUCUUUGGAACUGGAGGAGUAGGACAGCAAUAUUUUCCCCAUUUCCAGACGGAGAUGCAGUGGGAAGGGGCACUUGCUUUAUUCAGCACCUCGCAGUGUCGGAGGUGCCGGCCUGGGUGGGACCCCGAAGGCCCUUGUCCCAGCGCAGGGCUGGGUCUGCUCCCAGCUCAGCACGAAUGGUUUAGGAAACCACAUUGGAAAGGGCAGAGACAAAGGGUAAAAUCGGCACCCAGGUAGCAAGGCUGUUGCAUCAAUGCUGAGAGUUUUUGGCUUUUUGUUUUUUGUGUGUGUUUUAAGAUCUCGUGCUUCUCUUUUACUUUGUGUUGGCAAAAACCCUGGGAGAAGAUGGGAGAUUCUGGAGGAGAUGAUUAUGCUGGAGGGGUAGGGUGACUUCAAGGCCAAAAAGUUGUACCACUUUGAUUUGGUAAGUAUAGUCAAACCUCGGUUCUCGAAUGUCUCCCAUCUCGAACAAUUCGCUUCUCAACCUGACAACCCUUUCAUGAAAGCUAUAUGACCAGUCACAAGUCUCUCAGGCGACAGAGAAGAGGAUGCCCGAGUAUGAGCCAGUUUACCACGGUUAACAUCUCGGGAUAUUGUGCUAUGAAUAUUUUUGUGUGUGUGUGUGUGUUUUUUGUUUUUGCUUUUGUAGCUGCUUAUUAUAAUUAUUAAAUUUUCAUUUUUAUUGUA